GACAUAUAAGUUGACUUAUGUUACGGCCAUAAGAUAGAUAUUUGUGUAUCGUAUGUUU
rnacentral:tRNA from 1 species